rnacentral:misc_RNA from 1 species
AAAACGCGGUGAAGCAUUCCCUUUCUAUAAAUUGAAGGCCUCUCAACUCUGAAAUCUCGCCCAUUAGCUGAGAUCUCUCCCACCCAAAAGCCUGAACGACCGCUUACCAUCAAAAUGGCAAAAGCUACCCUUGUUUUGCUGCUUGUCUCUUUACUAUACAUUUCAGACACAGCAAGAUCUGCUACCCCUGCAAGGUCCAGCGUUAGUGCCUCAAAUUUCAUCAAGGCCUCCUGUAGAACCACCACUUACCCUGCACUAUGUGUUCAAUCUCUCUCAGCUUAUGCUACUUCCAUCCAGCAAAGCCCACGCCAAUUGACCGAGACUGCCUUGUCCGUGAGCCUCGCGAGGGCUCAGUCCACUAAGACAUUCGUCUACAAGUUGACGAAGUUCAAGGGAGUGAAGGCCAGAGAAAUGGAAGCCAUUAAGGACUGUUUAGAGGAAAUUGAUGACACUGUGGAUAGGCUUAGCAAGUCUUUUAAAGAGCUCAAGAACAUGGGUCCGUCCAAGGGUAAGGACUUCCAGUGGCACAUAAGCAAUGUGGAGACUUGGGUUAGUGCUGCUUUGACCGACGAGAACACUUGCGUAGAUGGUUUUGCUGGUAAGGCCAUGAAUGGGAGGUUGAAGUCUUCGAUUAAGGCAAGAUUUGUAAAUGUUGCUCAGGUGACUAGCAAUGCACUAGCAUUGAUUAACAAGUUUGCCUCCAAGAACUAAUUAAGUUAAGCAGCUGCUGUAAAAUUAUGUUUAUAUAAAUGAGUUCAUUUGGUAACAAGUGAUCUCAACUCCUCCAGCUCCAUGGGUCUAGUUUUGAUAUUUUGAGUGAUAUGCAUACUUGAUAUGAAACAAUCUGCUUUUCCUUUCUUUUUGAAUGCUUCUGUGAUGCAUUUUUCUUGGCUUUGCUGCCCUUUUCUGUGAUGCUACUUUAUUUUGCCCUUCUUUUUAAUAUAUAUAUAUAUUGGAUUUAAAGAGAGUGAAAAAUUAAAUUUAUAAUAAAG